CAAGCCUGGGGUUUCUCUGCCUCUGGACCACAUGUUUACGCUCCAGGCCUUGAGAGAGGAGCGGCACAGACAAAUCUUUGUGGAAAAGAAAAUAAGAGAAGCAGGAAAGGGGAGGGGUGGAGGCUGGGGAGAAGUUUGGUUCUCGUCAUUGACUCCACGAGUCGGUGGCAGGUCUGGUGCGGCAGCGCCCACCGCAGUGCGGCCCCGGGGGCCGGGCGCCGUGCCUGGGAAGGGUGCGGCUCCCUUGAACUUUGGACCGAAGGCCUUUGGCAGCCUCCAUCCCAUCCGAAAACCCGAGCUGUGACAUCUCUGAGCGGUUUGGUGGGCUGCGGUCCGAGCUCCGACAACCCCACCUUGUCACACAACAUAGACACGGCUGCGGCUUCGAGGGUCUGGAAAGGAAGGCACUUGCGUGUUGGAAAUCCUGAGACGGAGUUUCUGCUGGCUAUGGGUUCCAGUCAGAGGGGAUUCUCUAGGGACAAGAUACUGUUCCUUCCCCAUCCUGUCACAGCCCCAUAAGCCUUUCUCUACUGGGCACCACGGAGGCAAAUUGGUGACACGGGUCCCUUGGAAGGAUGUCUGAUUUGAGGAGCAAAAGCCCAUGAAAUGACACUCAGCUGUGACUGGAGACAGAGACAUUUGAUUCUGCCCUUCAGAGUCUAGUCUCACAGGGAUAUGGGUGCUUACACUGGGUGAACAUCACAUUAUAAAAGUCCCAGCCUUGGGGCACCCGAGUGGCUCAGUUGGUUUAGCGGUUAAGCGUCCCACUCUUGAUUUCGGCUCAGGUCAUGAUCUGAGGGUCGAGCCCUGUGUCAAGCUUUGCAGUUGGCGCAAAGUCUGCUUGAGGUCCUCUCCCUCUGCCCCUCCCCCUGCUC